CGCUCUUGCAAAACGAACGAAUAAGAGGUCCCGCCUGCCCUGUGACUAUAUGUUUAACGGCCGCGGUAUUUUGACCGUGCGAAGGUAGCGCAAUCACUUGUCUUUUAAAUGGAGACCUGUAUGAAAGGCACCACGAGGGCUUAGCUGUCUCCCCUUUAAGGUCAGUGAAAUUGAUCUCCCCGUGCAGAAGCGGGGAUACGCUCGUAAGACGAGAAGACCCUAUGGAGCUUAAGAUAUAAAGCGAUCCAAGUCAAGCACCCUACCUAAAGGAAUAGAACAAUAUGGGCCCCGCUGAAAUAUCUUCGGUUGGGGCGACCGCGGGGAAAGACAAAACCCCCACAUGGACUGGGGCCAUACCAGCCUCAAAACUAAGACCCACAGGUCGAAGAAACAGUACUUCUGACCACCAAAGAGCCGGCAUAGCCGAUCGACGGACCGAGUUACCCUAGGGAUAACAGCGCAAUCCCUUCCCAGAGCCCUUAUCGACGAGGGGGUUUACGACCUCGAUGUUGGAUCAGGACAUCCUAAUGGUGCAGCCGCUAUUAAGGGUUCGUUUGUUCAACGAUUAAUAGUCCUACGU
rnacentral:rRNA from 1 species